rnacentral:lncRNA from 1 species
AGCAACGGCUAUUUUUUUGUCCGUUUUAAUUGCCUUUUAUGCUUCCUAAAACUGCUCUAACGGCUCUUUAUCUGCCUAAUAUGUUUUCUCUUGUUUCUUAAGGCUAUAAAAGGUUUCAAAUGGUGAAAGAAAUUUCAGAAAAAAAAAUGAGAGAUCAAAUACAAAAGAGAGGAUCCAAAAUAUACACGAAGUGAUCAACGAGAUAUUCGAGAGAAAAAGAAAAGAGGAUCCA